rnacentral:lncRNA from 1 species
CUACAGGUGAAUAAGAUGCAACAAAACUUGGCCAAGAUUAAAAAAAAGAAGAAGAAGAAGAAGAACAACAACAACAAUAGAGUUGAAAGUGGUCACAUGGUGGAUGAUGAAAACAAUAGCAGGUGAAGCAAACAAGCAUACUGAGACUUGUGCUAGCAGGAACUGUGUCCACCAUGCGUGAAGAAUACAGUAGGAAAAUCUUUGUGAUUUCAGAACUGAUAUGGCUGAUUCCAGCCAGAACAUUUAAACUCUGACUAAGCAUUUCCAAACUCCAGGUCAUAAAUUUUUGUACAGAAAAAUAAGUCAAGAAUGACCCAGACUAAGGACUACACACUAUGUUUUAGACUGUAUAUAAAACUAAGCCUUAUGAAUACCAUUCAGUAAAUAUAGAAUCAAGUGUAUCCUAUAUGCACAAGUCUUGUGUUACUGUGGGGAACAAUAGAAGGAAGGUCUUUGACUCUCAGAUGUUUAGAGUCCUCUCUCCAGACUUCUUAAGUAGACAUUUCAGAAUACCAGAGCCUAGUGGAAAACUAUUGAAAGGGAUUAACCUUAUAGUCUCAGAGCAUAAUUUAAAUAUUUUUGUAGUCCCAAAGUUUUUGGUAUCAAUAUGAGAAAGUUAAAUUUUAUUGACAAUAAUUCUGCACCUACCCCUACCCAACCCUGUCCUUCUCAAGUGUUCUGUGAUGCUAAAUUGCUAGUAUGCAACAGAAACCUAAAACCAAGCCUCAGUGCAUGAACUACUCACCAUUUAAAUGAACCAAGAUCAUGAUCCUGGAGAAUAGUAACUUCCCAGAGCGAGAAGAUAUUGCAAGUUGGAGGCAUAGUACAGUAUCUUCCAUGAAAGCAGCUUGCCCCAAUUUGUGCUUCAUGGGUGUUUUACAGAAUUCUCAUUCUAUCAUCAGAUAAGUUUGGAAAACUGCAUUGGUUUGAAUAUGACUUAUGUCCCCCAACAGUCCAUUGUGAUUUAAAGCUCAGUCCUGGAGUGGUGCUUCUGGGAGGUGGUGGAACCUUUGAGAAGAGUGGCUCAGUAGGAGUAUUAGGUCAUUAGGGGUAGAAAGUUAUUUUCAGUGGAACCCCUUUGGUAUUUCUCCCAAGCCAGUUGCUAUAAAAGGAGCAAGCAUAGCCCCACCCAUCCUCUUUUUCCCUCCACUCCUAAUUUAAGAUGUUAUCAUGGCUUGCUGCUGCCAUUGCUACCCACUGUGAUAUGACCCAGCUGAGAACUAAGCCAAUACAAACAUGCCAUGAACCAGCAAGACUGGGAGCUAAAUAAAC